CAACUUUUAACAACGGAUCUCUUGGUUCUCGCAUCGAUGAAGAACGUAGCAAAGUGCGAUAACUAGUGUGAAUUGCAUAUUUAGUGAAUCAUCGAGUCUUUGAACGCAACUUGCAGCCGAUGGUAUUCCGUCGGUUAUGCCUGUUUCAGUAUCAAAAC
rnacentral:rRNA from 1 species